AUUGAGCGCUGGCGGCAGGCUUAACACAUGCAAGUCGAGCGGGGUGAUGGUGCUUGCACUAUCACUUAGCGGCGGACGGGUGAGUAAUGCUUAGGAAUCUGCCUAUUAGUGGGGGACAACAUCUCGAAAGGGAUGCUAAUACCGCAUACGUCCUACGGGAGAAAGCAGGGGAUCACUUGUGACCUUGCGCUAAUAGAUGAGCCUAAGUCGGAUUAGCUAGUUGGUGGGGUAAAGGCCUACCAAGGCGACGAUCUGUAGCGGGUCUGAGAGGAUGAUCCGCCACACGGGGACUGAGACACGGCCCAGACUCCUACGGGAGGCAGCAGUGGGGAAUAUUGGACAAGGGGGGGAACCCUGAUCCAGCCAUGCCGCGUGUGUGAAGAAGGCCUUAUGGUUGUAAAGCACUUUAAGCGAGGAGGAGGCUCUUUUGGUUAAUACCCAAGAUGAGUGGACGUUACUCGCAGAAUAAGCACCGGCUAACUCUGUGCCAGCAGCCGCCGUAA
rnacentral:rRNA from 1 species